GGGUUUUUGUUUUUAUUUUUUUUAUUCUCACAGGCCAUGCCAUCUUGGGCAAGUUAAGUAACUUUGCGGAACCUCACUUUCCUUCUGUAUAAAUGGAGGUAAUUGCCUUGAAGAAUCAGAGCAUAUGCACAUAAGGUGUGUAGCGCAGGGCCUGACUCGCAGCAGGAACUCAACAAAUGUUCUCGCAGCCUUCUCCAGCUAGGUCUGUCCCCAUCCAGGAAUAACCUGGGGUCUUGACUCUGCAAUUUUUCGCAUCAAAGUUCACUAGCCUGGUAGUGUUAUUUCAGGACUUCUCUAGAGGCUGACUUGGUAACUGCUGUCAGUAAAAGCUUUGAUGGCUGAAAU
rnacentral:lncRNA from 1 species